rnacentral:rRNA from 1 species
AUACGUAGGGGGCGAGCGUUGUCCGGAAUGAUUGGGCGUAAAGGGCGCGUAGGCGGCCCGGUAAGUCUGGAGUGAAAGUCCUGUUUUUAAGAUGGGAAUUGCUUUGGAUACUGUCGGGCUUGAGUGCAGGAGAGGUAAGUGGAAUUCCCAGUGUAGCGGUGAAAUGCGUAGAGAUUGGGAGGAACACCAGUGGCGAAGGCGACUUACUGGACUGUAACUGACGCUGAGGCGCGAAAGUGUGGGGAGCAAACAGGAUUAGAUACCCUGGUGGUUCACACUGUAAACGAUGAAUGCUAGGUGUAGGGGGUAUCGACCCCUUCUGUGCCGCAGUCAACACAAUAAGCAUUCCGCCUGGGGAGUACGGCCGCAAGGUUGAAACUCAAAUGAAUUGGCGGGG